rnacentral:tRNA from 1 species
GGAAAGAUGCCGGAGUGGUCGAUCGGGGCGGUCUCGAAAACCGUUGUACCUUCGGGUACCGUGGGUUCGAAUCCCUCUCUUUCCG